rnacentral:lncRNA from 1 species
AUGCUGAGAAAAGGAGAUCACACCUCUGUCCAGCCUGCACCGUCCCCUUGGCAUGCCCUGAAGACACGAGGCCUAAGUCAAGGUCAAAGACACGGCCCUCCUGGUUGUGAAGAUUCCAAAGACUCCCAGUUGCAUGAGGAGGUUACCCAGAAUGUCAGAUUCAGAGCGAUUCAGCAAGAACCCUUCAAAAUUCAAUGUGCUGUGUGGAAGCAUAUGGAAACUCAUGCUGUGUAUACAGAUAGGAAAGAAAGGAAAGAGAUAUUUCACAGGCAAUCACGGAAGAAAGAUGUGUAUGAGGAGACCUCCUGGGGACCUCAACUCGUCAGAGGCAAUGGUAGGGAGCCGAGUAGCCACUUCAGUUAAUUGUGCAUUUUGAUACAAAACCUGCAUUAUGAUGAGGAUCUUGGAUCUAUUUCUCAUCUUGCAUGUGGCCCCCGUAGAGCUGAUCUGAAUGACUAGCUUCAAAGAAAGCCAACAUCUUCAUCAGCACCCCAGGAGAGCUGUGUUGGACACAGGCGGUGACAAUGGAACUGUAUUUUUGGCCCAGGGCAUGGAAUCACCACUUAUGCAUGAGGAGCAAUGAGCUGGGGCAUUUAACACUGCACAGCUUGUGAGAAAUAUAACUCUCCAUGCUGCACAAACUCUGGUGACUUGUCUCCCACCAACAGACUCUCAUGUGUAAGGAGUGAUGGGGCUCUCAAGAGCAAGGUGAACGUGGCUAGGUAAGUCCUGAAGACAGGAGAAGCCAACUGUAUCCAUUUCCGAUUGUUGAGAUGGGGGUAAAACAACACAAAUUCAUUAUCUGGCAGUUCUGUAGGUCAGAAGUCCUAAAAUCAAGACAUCAAAAGGGCUGUGUCUCUUCUGAAGGCUCUAGAGGAAAAUCUGUAUCCUUGCCUUUUCCAGUUUCUAGAAGCUGCCAUGUUCCUUGGCUCAUGGCCCUUUCUUCCAUCUUCAGAGCCAGCAGAAUAGCAUCUUCAAACCUCUGACCUCGACAUCCACCCUCACAUCUCAUUCUUUCUUUCUUUUUUUUUUUUUUUUUUGAGACGGAGUCUUACUCUGUCGCCCAGGCUAGAGUGCAGUGGCCGGAUCUCAGCUCACCGCAACCUCCGCCUCCUGGGUUCACGCCAUUCUCCUGCCUCAGCCUCCCGAGUGGCUGGGACCACAGGCGCCCGCCACCUCGCCCGGCUAAUUUUUUGUAUUUUUAGUAGAGACGGGGUUUCACCGUGUUAGCCAGGAGGGUCUCGAUCUCCUGACCUCGUGAUCCGCCCGUCUCGGCCUCCCAAAGUGCUGGGAUUACAGGCUUGAGCCACUGCGCCCGGCCAACAUCUCAUUCUUUCAUUCAUCUAACUCCUUUCCCUUAUAA